GGAAGACAGAAGAAAAAAGCAAUGAGGGUUGGCCUCACCUUCUUGGAACCCAGCUUCACCAACUGGAAUGGGAGUUUCCCAUUAUCAAAUUUUGUUUCCUGUUAGUUCCCCUUACCAGCCAUUGCCACCACCACCACCAUCACCAUGGAAGUGCUCGGGGCCUGGAGUGCCAGAAAAUGGAGAGAUGGAAGAGGAAACAAAAAAAAAGCAAACACAGUGCAGUGCUGCUCUCUCUCUGAGCAUUGGAAGUUCCCUUUCCAGCUCCUCGAGCCAUUACCAGAGGGAUUGUUUGACUGGUGCCCAUUUUCUGGGUCACCAGUGCUUUGUGUUCAGGUCAGGGGAUAUUGGAAGAACAAAAUGUCAAACUCACUGCCGAUUCAGUGGCACUUUUAAGUUUGGUCUUCUGCAGUCUUCCUCUGAUAUUUAAUUUCUCUGUCUUCAGGCUGUUCCCUGCUUUCUCUCAAGUUUCUAUAGCUGUAUUCAUUGAGGGAGACAGGUUUGGGAAAUUUCUAUUGAUACAUCUUCAAGCUCACUGGUUCUCUCCUGGGCUCCGUCCCGUCUACUGGAAAGAAGGAAAAGGAAGAAGAAGAUGCAGAACCCUGUCAUUUGUGUUUAUAUUUCAUUGCAAGAACUGAGUCACAUGACUACUUCUCCUACAGUAGGCCCAAUCCAAAUUAGGUCUGAAAGGCUGCAAACAGAAGGUCAGAUAAAGCUAAACUUCAAAACAAAUGAAAAAAAGAAAAGGGAAGAAAAAAGAAUGGUUUGAGCGCUGUGUGAACUUCUGAAGAUCAGCUUCAAGGAUGCUGUGGAGAGAAGACAAAAUUACAUCCUGGGAAGAGCAUGAAGCAGAGAUCUGUGGACUCCCACUGAGAAAAGUUGACAUCACUGCACACUUCCCCCAUGAGGGUGCCUCGUCUCUUUGUCUCCCAAGAGACUGAGAAGGAGCUGGGUGGCUGGGUCUCCGCAUUGUCCAAAUGCCAGAAGAGCAAGGAGACAAGGGAACAGUGGGACUUGCUGCCAUUACCCCAGCAGGGGACAGCAGUCUGCUGCAUCUACACUAGCAAUCCCUGGGGGUAGAGAACACUUUACCUCCCAAAACCUGGGAGGUGAUGGAAUACAACAAGAUCUGUAAAAAUACGGAGAAAAAAGGCAACAUAUUAAGGUUCCAUCUGUUAGAGUGCGGAAACUUAGGUGGAAGAAACUACGUACAUCCAGUGAAAUAAGAUUGUUGGGGAGAUGUAUGAAAGCCUGAAUAAAAAAAAUUCGAAUCAUUUCAGUGAUUCAGAUCCAAGUGUAGAAUGAAAAGGACUUUUCAAAACCUAACAAUAGUUCCCUACUAAACAAUUAAAUGAAAUAAUACAAAGAAAAAACAAUUAAUUUUGAGUUCUAAUUGGUGGCCUCAAAUAUUAAGUGCAAAACAUAUUUGAAGCAGUGAGCAAAAAGCAUAAAGAGAUAACAAAUGUAGUGGAAAAGAUGAGAAAUCUGGGUGGUGGUUCCAGGAGACCAGGGUUCUGGAAAGAAGGAAAGAGAAAAAAAAUAAAACAUACGGAGAUGUCAAAAUUCAAAAACUGUUUAAAAAAACCCAGAUCAAUAAAAUUGUAUGUAGUGAAAGUUUAUUGUGUAUGUAGUAACAGUUCAUGAACUGAGAGUCUCCGAACCAGCAGUGGAAUGAAGCUCAGAGGCCUGUUGCUGUAGGAAAUCUUAUACACUGGAAAUGCAGAAGGUAUUUAAUCUUCAUAAUGAUUGGUUAUAGCAUUGGGGUUUUUCCCCAGACAGAGGAUUGGUUAAAGGUGGUAAUCUUAUGCUAUUUUUGGAAAACAAUUUAGGUUUCAUUCCUGACUUUCAGAAGCUUUUACAAGAAAACAGCCCACGUUAAGUUUCGCUUAUAUCGCAGGAUAGGCUAAAUUGGAUUUCAACUUAACUGGUUUUGUCUGCCCAGGGAAUUUUCAAAUCUGGUAUCCAUUUUGUAUUUUAUUUUACUAGAGAUGGUAAUUAAACACAUAAUGAAGCUAAUUCUCCUUGGGCCAAAUAAAGUUCUAAGUCUGUGGUAUGAAUGUACCUGGGCAUAGAUUGUGGUAUUCCUAAAAUAUGACAAAGAUAAGACAAGGAUGCAGAAGCAGCACAGCAAAGAUGCAUGAAUUUUCUAUGCUUCUGGGAAACAAUGCGAAAGGUUGAAUGGGAUUAAAUAAUCAUGGUGAUACUUAGUUUUAAAAUGAAGAUGACUGGGUCUUAAGGAGUGGAAUGACACUUUUAAAAAAUGAAGGUGACAGAAAAAUGUACAGAAUCAGACUGAGCUGUCACUAAAGAUGAGUGCCAUUCAGCUGAAAAAGGGUGAGGGAUGGAUAACAGAUCAGAGUUCAUAGAAGUUAUUGGAAAAAUAAAAUUGUCCCAUGUUUAUACCCUGAUGAGUCAAGACUGUUCAGUCAAACUGAUUAUACUUAUUUGCACACUGUCUCUUGUGAUUUGUCUCUUUGCUCUAAAAAUAAGUGUCAAAACAGCUCUGAUUAAUUGUAGUCUGGUGAAUGGGUUCUAUUUCCUAGAGGUUUUAUUGGUCAUUGAUGUGUGGAGAUGGAACCUUCAAUAUAUAGACUAAUUGUCCCCAUCACUCAUGGAAAACACUAAGACCCGGAAAGGACACCACAUAGCUCUUUGGAUUAUAAUGCUAGCAAACAUAUAUAAAAAUUACUGCAGGGGAGAAAGAGCUGAAUUUACAAAUGUAAAGAGGUAUUAGGCAAACUUUAUAGGUCAGUAUUUUUGUGUCUGUGAGCAUGCUGAUAUUUUUAAGCUAUAGUCAAGGUAAAUGAGCUAAGUAAGAAACUGAUUUUUAAGAUAUGUUUGUCAGCUAAUAUAGCAACAAAUGACUCAAUUUAAAAUCUGAGGUGAAAGAUACAUGUGUCUAAAUUGGUAAUAAACUACAUCUAUAUUCUGGGUCUGAUCUUUAGUAUUUUGCUAAUUUUGAUGUGAAUUCAAUAAAUAUUUUUGAACACAUGAUCAAAUUUUAUCAUACUAUCAUAACUCCUUGAUGGUUCAGGACAUCUGAUUCCAAGAGUCUAUUUUGAUGUCCCCAAGAAUUUACUCAUUUCUAUUGUUCCAGGUAUCCUAGUUUUUAGGUAAAACUGCUCUAGCAAGAUCUUUUAGCCAGAUAUUUUACCAAUUAUAUUAUUUUAAUACAAGAUGUUCUCUAUCAAAAUUCCACCUUACAGCUAGUUUCACAAAUCUUAUCUAGAAAUAAUUAUUCAUAUAAGGUUAUAGUCAUAAAAAAGGAUUAAGCGAAACUGUUUUCCUUCCAUUUCGGAAUUUUAUUAUAUCUGUGCACUAAUUUCCAAAUUAUAAAUUUCUCAG
rnacentral:lncRNA from 1 species